ACCUGUAUCGAAAGUGACUAUGGUGUCUGUUGCCAGGUCAUUGAUAGUACAGGAAUAUUAAAACUGGCAGCAUUUCCCGUGUUUGUUGGAAUAUUAAUUCCUGUCAAACCCUGACGCUUUCAGACA